rnacentral:tRNA from 1 species
AAGAUGCUAGCAUAGAGGUUGUGCGACUGGCUUGAAACUAGUUUAUGGUGGUUCGAUUCCAUCGUAUCUUG